rnacentral:rRNA from 1 species
UAGGGAAUAUUGGGCAAUGGAGGGAACUCUGACCCAGCCAUGCCGCGUGCAGGAUGAAGGCGUUAUGCGUUGUAAACUGCUUUUUAUAUAGGAAGAAAUAGUCCUUGCGAGGAAAGUUGACAGUACUAUAUGAAUAAGCACCGGCUAACUCCGUGCCAGCAGCCGCGGUAAUACGGAGGGUGCAAGCGUUGUCCGGAUUUAUUGGGUUUAAAGGGUGCGUAGGCGGUUUAUUAAGUCAGUGGUGAAAGACGGUCGCUCAACGAUUGCAGUGCCAUUGAUACUGGUAGACUUGAGUAUGAUUGAGGUAGCUGGAAUGGAUAGUGUAGCGGUGAAAUGCAUAGAUAUUAUCCAGAACACCAAUUGCGUAGGCAAGUUACUAAGUCAUAACUGACGCUGAGGCACGAAAGUGUGGGUAUCAAACAGGAUUAGAUACCCCCGUAGUCCCUGAGCGGGCUGGCAAGGCGCAU